rnacentral:rRNA from 1 species
GAACGCUAGCGGCAGGCUUAACACAUGCAAGUCGAGGGGUAUAGUUCUUCGGAGCUAGAGACCGGCGCACGGGUGCGUAACGCGUAUGCAAUCUACCUUUUACAGAGGGGUAGCCCAGAGAAAUUUGGAUUAAUACCUCAUAGUAUGUGAGAAUCGCAUGGUUUUCACAUUAAAGUUCCAACGGUAAAAGAUGAGCAUGCGUCCCAUUAGCUAGAUGGUAAGGUAACGGCUUACCAUGGCUACGAUGGGUAGGGGUCCUGAGAGGGAGAUCCCCCACACUGGUACUGAGACACGGACCAGACUCCUACGGGAGGCAGCAGUGAGGAAUAUUGGACAAUGGGCGCAAGCCUGAUCCAGCCAUGCCGCGUGCAGGAAGACGGUCCUAUGGAUUGUAAACUGCUUUUAUACAGGAAGAAACACCUCUACGUGUAGAGACUUGACGGUACUGUAUGAAUAAGCAUCGGCUAACUCCGUG